GCCCUCUCAGGGUCACAACUGGAGAGUUUCCAGUACUUUACCAGUCUCGACUACGGGAGGGAGAGUCAAGCAGAGGCACACCCUUUCCAUUCCUAUCUUGGCCAGUGGCUAGAGAGUGGAAUGCCAUCUGCUACAAGU